GUAGGGGGCAAGCGUUAUCCGGAUUUACUGGGUGUAAAGGGAGCGUAGACGGACUGGCAAGUCUGAUGUGAAAGGCGGGGGCUCAACCCCUGGACUGCAUUGGAAACUGUUAGUCUUGAGUGCCGGAGAGGUAAGCGGAAUUCCUAGUGUAGCGGUGAAAUGCGUAGAGAUUGGGAGGAACACCAGUGGCGAAGGCGACUAACUGGACUGUAACUGACGCUGAGGCGCGAAAGUGUGGGGAGCAAACAGGAUUAGAUACCCUGGUAGUCCACACUGUAAACGAUGAAUGCUAGGUGUAGGGGGUAUCGACCCCUUCUGUGCCGCAGUCACACAAUAAGCAUUCCGCCUGGGGAGU
rnacentral:rRNA from 1 species